UCAAAGAGAAGUCUGGAUCAAACUGUGAAGACGGGAUGGAAAUAAAGACGCGUCAAUGGCGCCCAGAGCAGAUGUUAUUAGUCAGCGCCUUGAGGGAAGGAUUUGGUCCUCAGCUACUUCUGCCCAGCUGCAUGGCUCCGUGCUUCUGGAACCCACCCGGAACACAGCUAUGUGGAGUGCAUGCAUAGCUAUAGUUCAUGAGGGUUUGGGGGAAUACAUGAGAAAUUAAAACAAAUACUGUAUAAUGAAUUGGAUAAAUACGUAACUGACUUGUUGAAAAUCUCAAUUUAAUGGAUGGCCUUGCAGAAGAUAUCUUUCAAGUCUUGGUAAACUGGAAUAGAGAAAGCAAUCAGAACAACCAUGAGGAAGAAAGCAAAGCUCUGGCUCUGUCCCCCGGAGACCGACGAGAAUUUUUCAUUUCAUGCACCAUUUGCAACUUCUUAGAGCAGAUUCCGGAACACGAGUACAGACACUUAGCAGAAAAUGAAAACACUCUUGUUUUGGUUAUUUUCUUAAAUUUUUGCCUUGUGUCCAUUAUCUUGAUUAUAUUUUCCCAUCCCAGCAUCCGAGUCCCGGCAGUGAAAUCUCAACCUCAUUGAUCCUAAGGCAGGGGUGUAAAACAAAGUAACACCCACGUCUUCCCCAACACGGGUUUCUAGGGGGAAAGGCAUCGAUUUGAUAAUUGUGCACUUAGCCGGAUUGGCAUGAUAUCUGCAGUGCAAGGGGCCUGACUCUCUGGUGCAGAUUUUAGCAAUUUCCAAACCUGUCCUCUGCACUUAAGCACAUUACUGUCCCGUGUUCCUGCUUCUAGGGAGUAUUUGAUAAAAUGGAAAAUCAAUGUUCAGCCCAAUGUGGAUAAGUAGGGAGGGAAGGGCAAGGAACAUCAGCCUGGACCACUCCCAUCAUCUUGCAUGCACAUUUGAACACAACUCCCUUAAACCGAGAAAAAGGCACUGUUAUCAAGUCUUGGUGGAACCCCGUGGGUUUCUAGGGACAAAUGAAUUGUGUCUUCCUGAAGAAUUUUACUUAUGAUAUUAAAAUCGCUUGGGAGACCACAAUGGAGAACAGUAAACUCUACAACUCAACCCACAGAAGUAUUAGUAACAAGGAGGAAGCCAGCAGCUAAAGCAUGCUGGGCUGCAUUCUUCAGCAAGGCGGGGUGGCUCCCCAUGAGCCCCACUUUCCGUAUACCCUCUAUGGCCUCGAAAGUCUCUAAAAUAAUAAGAGAGUCACCUCCUCUCCAGGCAAACUGCAACCUUUAAACAUUUUACUUUAUUGACAAGUAGGUAGAAUAAAAGUAACGAACAAAUAACAAA